CCUGAUAGCAGCGCCCCUAUAGGGGAAAAUAUAAACUUUCCAUAUUGUCCAUUCGAUUACACGUUUUGUUGGGUGUUUAUUGGUUAUGUUAUUAAUUUGUAGUGCCGGUGAUGUGAAAAUAUAAGAAAAAUAUGAGUUGAUUGAUAAAAUACUGUGAGUGAAGUGAUGAAGAGGAUAAACAUUUCAGUAAAACGGAUGGUUUACAAUGCAUCAAGGAUGACAAAUUCAUUUUGGUUGCUCUUUGUCAAAGGACUUUAUUCUACACGAAAUUAUGUAACACAGGAUUUAGAAGUGCUCGGAAUUACUUAAAAUCAGGAGUAUCUUUUGUGCCUUAAAGAUGAUGAAGAGGAUGUUAACGAGUACAAACUGAAGGUUGUCAGCUACUCUUCGUAAUAUCGGAAAGAUUCCAAGAAAGUUUUAUUAUCCGUGAUGAUGCACUUGGACACCACCUGUCAAUUGAGAAACAAUGAUUGGCAAAGGUGGCAACACUGCUCGCUGCGACCUUCACACUACACGGCAAUUCACUCAUAAGUGUCAUGGCGUCGUUAGUGGAAGAACGAUUGACGUGUUGGGAAAAUUUUAAUCUUUUGAUUUGGUGUUAAUCCUAUCGUAUAACAUGAAAAUUUCACGAUUCCAAAGAAAAUUGCCAGUGUUAUUAUUUGUGAUGGACAAAUUUAUGAGUUCCGAAACUGCAAAGUUAGGUUAUGUUAUUAAAAUAUUCAGAGUUUUGAUGGAAAAAAGAUGGAAACUAUUUUAUAAAAUCAUUGAUGAGCUCCGAAACUGCCAAGUGAGAUUAUUUUAUUAAAAUAUUCAGACUUUUGAUGGAAAAACCUGGAAAACUAUUUUUAAAAAUUAUCGACGAAUUCAGGAAUUUGAAAUACAUCAUCAACAUCAAAUUUUCGAAACGUUUCAACAAGAAAAUCUAAUUUGGGAGCCUUUCGCAGUGGAACGAGUUGUUUUUGGUCAGACACAAUUGGUGAGUACUGACAAUAUUAU